CGCCUCACGCCUGUGCAGCCUUUGGACGUCACAAUCAAGCGUCCUCCGCGCUUGCCACAAAAUAGUCCUAUACUUCUCCGAAAGUAAUCCCGCGUUGAUCGCGAGAUUUAACCCCCGCCCCCACCGCCACUGCCUUUAACGGAUGCCCUGAGGGGGAGGGCAAGCCAGGUCAGACAGGUGAGAUAACCACUACACCUGUAAGUAUCAUCUUUGAAAGGAUUUGCUCGGAUUUAUUUGCAGAUUUAGUCAUCAAUUCGUCAAGAACGUAUUUUUUUCUCGUCUAUAGCCUUUACUCCGUCCGAAAGUUUCAUUUUUUCAUCGCUCUGAUCUAUUUUUAUAUGUUUUGUAUCUGCCACAGCAGGGUGUCAAACGAAAACUUGCAAGAAAAGACAGACGAAAUACGGACAGGUGUUCCGGUAGCAAAAGCAUUUCGAUUCUUUUAUAUACACGCUGAAUUGCAGAAAAUUUAGGGUACGGGUUAGACCGUUGUUUCUGCGCCGACCCUCUGGAACAUUUUGAACUCUUCACAACUUUGGUACUACAUUUGACUCCCAGAAUUCUUUGUUCUGGAUACCCCAACGAGAGGAAACAUCAACUCUGCAUCCAGUCUCACCACUCCUGUUUCAAUGAGACCUCCUCUCUAUCUUCUAAACUCCGGUGAGGAGAGCCAAACUGCACAUAAUACUUCAGGUCUGCAUCAAUGACUACCGCCCUGUUGCACUUACACCCAUCGUCAUGAAGUGCUUCAAGAGGCUCGUGAUAAGGUACAUUAAGACCCUGCUGCCUCCCUCACUGGACAUCCUGCAGUUCGCAUAUUGACCCAACCGCUCAACAAAUUAUGCCAUUUAUACCACCCUCCAUCUGACACUCACCCACCUAGAGAAGGACACCUACGUCAGACUACUGUUUCUAGACUUCAGUUUUGCAUUUAACACUAUAAUUCCUCAGCACCUGAUUGGAAAGUUGAGUCUGCAGGGCCUAAGUACCUCACUGGAUCCUGGACUUCCUGACUGGGAGACCUCAGUCAGUCUGGAUCAGGAACAGCAUCUCCAACACCAUCACACUGAGCACAGGGGCCCCAGAGGGCUGUGUGCUCGGUCCACUGCUGUUCACCCUGCUGACACACGACUGUGCAAUGACGCACAAGUCGAAUCACAUCAUCAAGUCCGCUAAUGAUACGACUGUAGUGGGUCUCAUCAGAAGGAACAGUGAGUCAACCUACAGAGAGGAGGUGCAUGGCUAAUGGACUGGUGCAGAGCCAACAACCUUUGUCUGAAUGUGGACAAGACAAAAGAGAUGGUUAUUGAAUUCAGGAGGACAUGGAGCGACCGCUGUCUGCUGAACAUCGAUGGCUUCCCUGUGGAGAUCAUAAAUUUCUUGGUGUACACCUGGCGGAGAAUCUCACUGGACCCUCAACAUGUGCUCCAUAGCUAAGAAAGCCCAGCAGCAUCUCUACUUUCUGUGCAAGCUGAGGAAAGCCCACCUCCCACUCCUCAUCCUCACCACAUUCUACAGAGGGUUCAUUGAGAGUACCCUGAGCUGCUGCAUCACCGCCUGUUCAGAAAUUGCAUCAUCUCAGAUCGUAAGACCCUACAACAGAUAGUGAGGACAGCUGAGAAGAUCAUUGGGAUCUCUCCCCUCCAUUACAGACAUUUACACCACAUGCUGCAUCCGAAAGGCUAAGAGCAUUGUGGAAGAUUCCACCCAUUCCCCAUUCAAACUUUUCUCCUUCCUGUCAUCUGGCAGAAGAUACCGGAGCAUAUGUUCUCUCACGGCCAGACUGUGCAAAUAUUUCUUCCCCCAAGCCAUAAGGCUCCUUAAGACCGUAUAAUUGGACUCUUUCCCAUCUGAGAUUCUUUCGUAUUGCGGCUAGAAACAUCAUUCUUCCGUUACACUGUAAUUUGUGUUUUUUUCACUUAUUAUACACUUUAUGCCGUGUACGAUUGUGUAGUUUGUAUUGUCCAUGUAGCACCCUCAGUACUGAAGGGAUGCUGUCUCUUUUACUGUUUCAUGUGUAUAUUGUAGAAAUGACAAAUAAAAAUUUUCUCUAUUCUACUCUACUCUCUGACAAUAUGGAUUAACUGCUAAAUUUAAACAUGUACUCUUCCAUGCUUCAGGUUCUAUUGAAAGGAAAAAUUGACAUGGUAUAUUAUCAAGCAUGUGGUCUGAUAUUGGGCAGGCGAUGUAAUAGUGCCUGUUUUGCAUUCCUGCUGAAGUUGAAUGUUUUGUUUGAUACAUCAAAAAUUGUAGCACAACUUGCGUGCAUUUCUGAGACAAUUUGAGUGAGUGAGAAAACACAAAUAGCGCUCUUCCAUGUUUAGAUAUU